UACGUAGGGGGCUAGCGUUGUCCGGAAUCAUUGGGCGUAAAGAGCGUGUAGGCGGCCCGGUAAGUCCGCUGUGAAAGUCCAGGGCCCAACCCUGGGAUGCCGGUGGAUACUGUCGGGCUCGAGUCCGGAAGAGGAGUGUGGAAUUCCUGGUGUAGCGGUGAAAUGCGCAGAUAUCAGGAGGAACACCAAUGGCGAAGGCAGCACUCUGGGACGUGACUGACGCUGAGACGCGAAAGCGUGGGGAGCAAACAGG
rnacentral:rRNA from 1 species